rnacentral:rRNA from 1 species
CUUGCUUCUCUUGAGAGCGGCGGACGGGUGAGUAAUGCCUAGGAAUCUGCCUGGUAGUGGGGGAUAACGUUCGGAAACGGACGCUAAUACCGCAUACGUCCUACGGGAGAAAGCAGGGGACCUUCGGGCCUUGCGCUAUCAGAUGAGCCUAGGUCGGAUUAGCUAGUUGGUGGGGUAAUGGCUCACCAAGGCUACGAUCCGUAACUGGUCUGAGAGGAUGAUCAGUCACACUGGAACUGAGACACGGUCCAGACUCCUACGGGAGGCAGCAGUGGGGAAUAUUGGACAAUGGGCGAAAGCCUGAUCCAGCCAUGCCGCGUGUGUGAAGAAGGUCUUCGGAUUGUAAAGCACUUUAAGUUGGGAGGAAGGGUUGUAGAUUAAUACUCUGCAAUUUUGACGUUACCGACAGAAUAAGCACCGGCUAACUCUGUGCCAGCAGCCGCGGUAAUACAGAGGGUGCAAGCGUUAAUCGGAAUUACUGGGCGUAAAGCGCGCGUAGGUGGUUUGUUAAGUUGGAUGUGAAAUCCCCGGGCUCAACCUGGGAACUGCAUUCAAAACUGACUGACUAGAGUAUGGUAGAGGGUGGUGGAAUUUCCUGUGUAGCGGUGAAAUGCGUAGAUAUAGGAAGGAACACCAGUGGCGAAGGCGACCACCUGGACUAAUACUGACACUGAGGUGCGAAAGCGUGGGGAGCAAACAGGAUUAGAUACCC